rnacentral:rRNA from 1 species
GACGAACGCUGGCGGCGUGCUUAACACAUGCAAGUCGAACGGAAAGACCCUGCUUUUGUGGGGUGCUCGAGUGGCGAACGGGUGAGUAACACGUGAGUAACCUGCCCUUGACUUUGGGAUAACUUCAGGAAACUGGGGCUAAUACCGGAUAGGAGCUCCUGCUGCAUGGUGGGGGUUGGAAAGUUUCGGCGGUUGGGGAUGGACUCGCGGCUUAUCAGCUUGUUGGUGGGGUAGUGGCUUACCAAGGCUUUGACGGGUAGCCGGCCUGAGAGGGUGACCGGCCACAUUGGGACUGAGAUACGGCCCAGACUCCUACGGGAGGCAGCAGUGGGGAAUAUUGCACAAUGGGCGGAAGCCUGAUGCAGCAACGCCGCGUGCGGGAUGACGGCCUUCGGGUUGUAACCGCUUUCGCCUGUGACGAAGCGUGAGUGACGGUAAUGGGUAAAGAAGCACCGGCUAACUACGUG